AGUGAACGCUGGCGGUAGGCCUAACACAUGCAAGUCGAACGGCAGCACAGUAAGAGCUUGCUCUUACGGGUGGCGAGUGGCGGACGGGUGAGGAAUACAUCGGAAUCUACUUUUUCGUGGGGGAUAACGUAGGGAAACUUACGCUAAUACCGCAUACGACCUACGGGGGAAAGCAGGGGAUCUUCGGACCUUGCGCGAUUGAAUGAGCCGAUGUCGGAUUAGCUAGUUGGCGGGGUAAAGGCCCACCAAGGCGACGAUCCGUAGCUGGUCUGAGAGGAUGAUCCGCCACACUGGAACUGAGACACGGUCCAGACUCCUACGGGAGGCAGCAGUGGGGAAUAUUGGACAAUGGGCGCAAGCCUGAUCCAGCCAUACCGCGUGGGUGAAGAAGGCCUUCGGGUUGUAAAGCCCUUUUGUUGGGAAAGAAAAGCAGCAGGUUAAUACCCCGCUGUUCUGACGGUACCCAAAGAAUAAGCACCGGCUAACUUCGUG
rnacentral:rRNA from 1 species